rnacentral:lncRNA from 1 species
ACAAAGGUGUUGAGUAACUGAAAAGAUUAGGAUAGUGACUCCAACUAAAUCUUAAACUGCCUUCUGCUUCCAGUGAUACUGUGAGUGAAGUACGUGUCAUACUGUGUUUGUGCAUCUCAGGUUUCCUGGCACUCCAUCUCAUCUCUUUCAAGCAAUCAAACUAUGAGAAAACAAAGAAGACAGAAGUCACCAUACAGCAGAGGCCUGAAGCAACCAUCUAGUUUAGCUACCUUAGAACAUUAGAAAGACUUUAGAUUUUAAAGGGAAGAUAUAUUGGCUGGAGGAGAAAUAUGUACCAGCAGGUAAGCUAGAGGGCUACAGGAGAAGACCAUGCUGAAGAGGGGUAUGGAGCUUACAAGAAGAGACGUACAGAAGACGAACUCAGCCCUUGUAAGGAGAGCAGGAUGUGAGGCUUCCCGGACUCUAAGAUCAGAG